rnacentral:lncRNA from 1 species
AACCCCAACCCAAUAACAACAUAUAUAGAUAUUUAGUAGAUAGAGUAUGCAAAAAUACAAGGCAAUAAAAUAAAUGAUGAAUAAUAUAAAGCGAGUAAAGAAUAAAGAUAAACACCUAAAACAAGCUAAAAAAACAAAGCUAGACUCGACUCCUUUUAGCGACUAGGAAAUACUCUAAGUAGUAGAGUUUCCCCAACAGAGUCUCUAGCUGAAGCUAGCGGAAAUAUACCUAAACGUAUCGCACGCUCGAACAUACAAC